rnacentral:rRNA from 1 species
UACAGAGGGUGCAAGCGUUGUCCGGAAUUAUUGGGCGUAAAGAGCUCGUAGGUGGCUUGUUGCGUCUGCCGUGAAAGCCCGUGGCUUAACUACGGGUCUGCGGUGGAUACGGGCAGGCUAGAGGCUGGUAGGGGCAAGCGGAAUUCCUGGUGUAGCGGUGAAAUUCGUAGAUAUCAAGCGGAACACCGGUGGCGAAGGCGGCCUUCUGGGACAGUGACUGA